GACGAACGCUGGCGGCGUGCUUAACACAUGCAAGUCGAACGGAAAGGCCCUGCUUUUGUGGGGUGCUCGAGUGGCGAACGGGUGAGUAACACGUGAGUAACCUGCCCUUAACUUUGGGAUAACUUCAGGAAACUGGGGCUAAUACCGGAUAGGAGCUCCUGCUGCAUGGUGGGGGUUGGAAAGUUUCGGCGGUUGGGGAUGGACUCGCGGCUUAUCAGCUUGUUGGUGGGGUAGUGGCUUACCAAGGCUUUGACGGGUAGCCGGCCUGAGAGGGUGACCGGCCACAUUGGGACUGAGAGACGGCCCAGACUCCUACGGGAGGCAGCAGUGGGGAAUAUUGCACAAUGGGCGGAAGCCUGAUGCAGAAACGCCGCGUGCGGGAUGACGGCCUUCGGGUUGUAAACCGCUUUCGCCUGUGACGAAGCGUGAGUGACGGUAAUGGGUAAAGAAGCACCGGCUAACUACGUG
rnacentral:rRNA from 1 species